GCAUAUGUAUUUAUAAAGUUCAGCAGCCAUAUGAGAAAUUAGCCUCUGUAUUCACCGGGGUCCUCCCACCCCUCUGUCUUCUUCUCUAAUCCGCCCACAUGUAUCGUCUGAGGAAAAAAAUAGUGCAGAAGGUGACGCUCCUCCAAAGGAACAGAGAGAGGCACAAGAGAGGGAAAGGCAAAGAGAGCGAGGUGUCUACAGGCUGCAUCUCCACUGAAACAUUUGGAUGGGGGAGACAGAGGAAGAGCUGAAUGGUAGCUACACCCUGCGCCUGGAAGCGUAGAGACACUGUAACAAAGGCUGGCAAUUAUUUUUGUUUUUGGCAAUAACAAAGGUGGGAGAGGGGCUCUGAAAUCGAGGGGAAAUAGCCAAAAGACAGAUUUUUGUUUUUCAGGGGGACUUCUGCUUCAUUUCAUCCGAAAGACUCAUCCCGUGCCAUCAUCAGCAUGACCAUAAGCUCUAAGUAACAUUCGGCAAUAACGCUAUCAAAACAAGAUUUCCAGCAACAGUCGCGCGCAAUCCUAUUUCUGAUUUAUUAUAAUCGUGUGGAGGAAAAAACCCUCCACAAAAAACAGAAAAAAACAAACAAACCCCAAAAACAGAUCAGCUGAAUGCCUGCGAGAAACUGGAUACUCUGUGAAAUCGUAAGAAAGAGCGAUCUAACAAAGAAAACUACAUUUUGAUUGAUCUUUUUAAAGCUUGAUGUGCGUGUUUCUGCGCGCACUCGAAUCGAACCAGAACCAAAAGCAAACUCCUCAGACUCCUCCCUCCUCCUCCCUUCGGUUUCUCUCAUCCUCUCCCUCCCCCCGGUCCUCUAUGCUCAGUUCGGUGUGUGUAUCCUCUUUUAAAGGGCGCAAGGGUGGGAACAAGUCGUCCAACAAAGCAUGUUACAGCGCAGACAUGACUUGUCCGUCGGAAAGCGAGAAAAUCGUGAUAAACUGCGGGGGGGUGCGGCAUGAGACCUACCGGAGCACCCUAAAAACGUUGCCCGGUACCCGCUUGUCGUGGCUCACCGAGCCGGACGCGUUCAGCAACUUCGACUACGACCCCAAAUUAGACGAGUUCUUCUUCGACCGCCACCCGUCGGUGUUUUCCUUCAUCCUCAACUAUUACCGCACCGGGAAGUUGCACUGUCCCAACGAUGUGUGCGGUCCCCUGUUCGAAGAGGAGCUGGCCUUCUGGGGCAUCGAUGAGACGGACGUGGAGGCUUGUUGCUGGAUGAAUUACCGGCAGCAUCGGGAUGCGGAGGAGGCGCUGGACAGCUUCGAGACUCCAGAACCGGACGCGCCAGACGACGACCCGGCGCUGGGUGGUGCGGAUGGGGACUUGAAAAGACUGUGCAUGCAAGAGGACGCGAGGAAAGCGGGCUGGUGGAAAACCUGGCAACCCAGAAUAUGGGCGCUCUUUGAAGACCCCUAUUCCUCCAAAUAUGCCCGGUAUGUGGCUUUUAUCUCCCUAUUCUUCAUCCUCAUCUCCAUAUCCACGUUCUGCAUGGAGACGCACGAGGCCUUCAACACCAUCCUCAACAAGACAGAGAACGUCACAGUGGGCAACAUGACGCGUGAGGAGAUAGUUUAUGAGGUGGUGACUGACAGCUGGUUGACAUAUGUGGAAGGUGUGUGUGUCAUUUGGUUCACCAUUGAGGUCCUGCUUCGAGUCACCUUCUGCCCAGACAAGUUUGAAUUCUUCAAAAGCACCCUCAACAUCAUCGAUUUUGUUGCCAUCCUGCCCUUCUAUCUGGAGGUUGGUCUGAGUGGGCUGUCCUCCAAAGCUGCCAAGGAUGUCCUGGGGUUCCUGCGUGUUGUCCGAUUUGUUCGUAUCCUCCGAAUCUUCAAGCUGACUCGCCACUUCGUAGGUCUCCGUGUCCUUGGCCACACCCUGCGUGCCAGUACCAAUGAAUUCCUCCUGCUCAUCAUCUUCUUAGCUCUUGGUGUCCUCAUCUUUGCCACUAUGAUCUACUAUGCUGAACGAAUUGGCGCAGACCCAGAUGACCCAACAGCCAGUGCCCAUACCAACUUCAAGAACAUUCCCAUUGGAUUUUGGUGGGCUGUUGUGACCAUGACCACGCUGGGUUAUGGAGAUAUGUACCCGGAGACAUGGUCAGGGAUGCUGGUGGGUGCGCUGUGUGCCUUGGCUGGUGUGCUAACCAUUGCUAUGCCUGUACCUGUCAUUGUCAACAACUUCGGCAUGUACUACUCUCUGGCUAUGGCCAAACAAAAGCUUCCCAAAAAGAAGAACAAACAUAUCCCCCGAGCGCCACAACCAGGGUCCCCCAACUACUGCAAGCCAGAUGCCUUGGCGAUGGCUACUGCAUCACCGCAAAGAAUCUUGGGAAAUGUCUUGGGAGGAGUGAUGGGGUCUGGAGGAAUAGCAGGUGACUGUCCUCUUGCCCAAGAAGAAAUUAUAGAGAUCAACAGAGAUUCUAAGCAGAAUGGUGACGCAGCCUCAGCCGCCUUGGCUAAUGAGGACUGCCCCACCAUCGACCAGGUGCUGAGCCCGGAUGAGAGGAGUCCUAUUGGGCGAGGCCCCACUCGGGAACGCUACCAGCAGGACAGAGCCUGCUUCCUUCUUAAUACCAGGGAAUUCCGUGCCACAGAUGGGAAUGUGCGGAAAGAGGCAGCAGCCCUGGCACCCAGCCCAGACUCCCCUCUGACUGAGGAUUGGUAUAAGAUGGAGGGGUCUCUGUUACAGCAGGACCUCAAUGCAAACUCCACAUCUUCCUGGAUCAAACCAUAGACCAGAGGUUGUGUCAUAUCACGCGUGUGUAUGUGCGCUUUUUUCAUUCUUACAUGUUAUACACUGUGUCUCUGUCCUCUCAAUGCCGUCUGAGUGUUGUGUUUGUGUUUGUCGUGUGUGGCUUAAUUUAGUUUUUUCCCUUCCUAUUGUGUUUUACUCCCUACCCCACGGACCUCCACCUUGGCAAACAGAAGUGCACACUGCAAUUUAUAAAAAAAUGUUUGACUAUAAACAACACCUUUCUAUUUACACCUGUAUAUAUAAUAUGUACAUAUACUCGCACACUGGUUGUACGCACUAACAGUGGCAUUUGUCCCUGCUAUGCCGUGAUGUGGCCACAAGGAUUUGCAAAAUUACAAGUACAUAUGCACCAUCUCUAAUCAGCUGGUCUGCACUGAUACUUUAACACAUUGUGAUUGCAGUGCUGGACAUCACCUUUCCAAGGCCCAAGGUAACUGGGGUCACUGGAGCCAUCUGUGUCAGGGGAUAUCACUUUGUGAAACAUGGCACGCUUAACACUAGCAAACAUUUUAAAGAAUGGGUUGAUCAAAAAACAAACAAAUAAAAAAUCGACCUAUAAAUUAGUUAUAAUAACAGAGUGCUAAUUUACAAAAUAAGCGUGUAAUGGAUCUGAAAUACUAUCCCCUGACCGUAUAACUGUGCUUUCAGUGCCUAGUGUAGUCCAAAGAUUAGGACCUUUUGUAUGAGUACUGUGGAGAAAUCAGAAGGAACAUAAGCUGCACUUGGUGACUGAAACACUUACCGACCAGACAGAAAGACAAAUGCUAUGACAGAGUUGACCGAAAAAGCGGCUUCAUGUUGUCUAAGGUAAGCGAGCCUCGAGCUGUCCGAGCCUUUCAGUUAGAGGUUGCUGACAUCGCUGCAGUUUUUAAUGGUUUUCUAUAUGUAAUAUAAAAUCUAGGUGCUACAAAGAUCCCUCUUUAAAACAAAUCAGGAGUCCAUUGAGCAAAACAAGUGCUGGGGUUAUUAGGAUGCUGCUUAGGGCUUGUAAUUUGUAGGUAAGCGAUGUAUAAAAGUCUUUAUUGUUUUAGUGUGUAUUUUAAUGUUGAGCCUUGUGCACUGGGGGAAGAGACUGUACUAAGUGCUUACAGUAAAUACCAAAUAAAUUUCUUUAUUUCUCUGACACCUGAUUCUCUAGUAUCUGAUAACAAGAUUCCAUGUCUAUAAGCCCCGUGUUAGACAAAUGACCUGGCCAAGGUGAUGUCAACCUCUUUCCUAUUGAGGGGAAAAAGAUAGCUAUAUAGGAGCAUUCAAACUUACAUGACUAAUCUGUUAAAAUUGUGAAUCCGAAGUUUUGAAAAAUCAAGAAAAUGAACAAAAAGCACUGGGUUUAUGACAGUUAUGAUGGUCCCUGCUCUCCACUUGUUUUUAAAGAGGGAUUUCACGCUGACUAAAAAUCAUUCUUGUGUGCUUUAUUUGUGAUUUAUUUUGUAGAUAUAUGCAUAAGGUGUUUUUGCCAACUUAUUUUCUUAGCUUCUCAGAUUCUUUUGUUGGAUUGUUGGCCAUUUGACUUCCUACGCACCCAGUGCUGUAUGCAUGGCUCACUAAGGUCAAACGGUCAAUCACCCCCCUCUGAUUGCUCACUCCAAAUCACUCCUCCAGACCUUCUUCAAGGAGUUUAUAUUGGCUUCUGUCUCUCUCUUCUUUGUCUCUCUUCUUCUCCACACUCUUUCCUCUGUAUAUGUAUAUGAGUUUUUUUUGUUCUGUUCUGUGUUUCUAACAUGUUGUGUGCAUCUUUUAUUAAGUAUUACUGUGAUGUGAUAUCCAGCAGUUUUGUAAAAAAAAAAAAAGUAUUUAUUUGAAUGCUUUAUUGUUUCGAGGUGUAUGUGUAUGGAUUGAGUUGAUUUAUGUUAAUUUUAAUUAUAUUUUGCUGUAUUCUAUAUUUUGUUUUGGUUUGUUUUUCUCUUGAUAUUGUGUUUUGUACAAGUUGUUUUUGUUGUUUUGUGUUUUGUGACUUCCCUCGUGUUCUUCCUGUGAUCCCCUUUGAGUUUCACCAUCACCUGCGAUUCGUCUUUUCUGAAUCGGAGUGACAAACAAAACUGCCAACAAAACAGCGGAACGAAUUAACAGAAAAGUGGUGCAAAUCUCGCUGGUUAAAGGCAUUCUCAAGAGCAUAUUUGGCCAAAACGUUCACUACUUAUUAGCAAAUCCGUACUAUGUGCAGUAAAUCUGUAGAGCAUUACAUUCAUUUCAGCUAACAUGAGCACAUUGCUAGUAAAUGUAUAAAACUCCACCCACUAUAAGUCAGUCAGUCAUUGUUAGAGCAGAUAGCUGCUAUCUAACAAUGGGGCCUUUCACUACAGCUGAUGCAACAACACUGUGAGCACAACACAACCUUGUUUGUGGCUGCUUCCUACAAGGAGGGCUCAAUAUCUACAUGAAGUGUUUUGAACCAAAAAUACAGUGGGAAAGGAAACAUAGGCCAGUGUGCUCAUUCUUAGAUGAAUUGGCUAUAUGUUAAGCUAAAUGCAAAGUGUCAUGCAUUAUAAUUUAAAGGUACUUUUGUAGCUGGAAAGAGUUUUAAAUGAACUUCUUUGUAAUGUGACAUUUCCCACUGUGAUCAAAAUAGAAAGUGACUCAAUAGUCACUCACAACAGGAUGUGAUCACCGAGGGUACAAAGUGAUUUAAAUGUGGCUGAGAGGACAUUUUUGUUUUGGCCAUUUGAAGUUCAUACCAAGUAAAUACAAAAUGGGCUGCUGACAAAGCAUAAUGCAAGGCAAUUCAUGAUUCCACAUAAACUUCAUGUGGUCAACUACAAUGUAUCAGUGAUAUCAGAGUAUUUGCUGUUGUGUGUUUGUGUUAAACUGUUCGGUUUUGGCCAAAUAGUUGUCCAAAUUACCUGAACAUCGGACGUUACCGUUCACAAGGUGUUGGGUAAUUGGUGUUAGAUUUUUUAAUACUUAUUAGCAAAUCCGUACUAUGUGCAGUAAAUCUGCUGCAUUUUCAUGGAAGGAUAAGUAUAUAAUUUAUUUAGAGACUUUAAACAGAUACGAUGCUGAGGUUUACAGGAAAGAAAUGCUCUUCAUUGACAUUUCAUCUGCUCUUUUUUUACCCCAUUGUUUAAUAUUGUUAAUUUUGACACGGAUUAAAGUUAACUGUUGGCAGAAAUAUUUUUCAAGCCACCACAGACCUGUCUGUUGUUUCUGUCUGUGCUCGCGGUCAUUACCAGAGCGACACGCUAACUCUAAAAGUAACUCCUCAAAGCCUUUUCCCAUAACCCGUGUGAAAGUGUGUUUUAUGUGGUAACACUUGUCAGUCCUCUCAUGUGUUCUCUUUACGGUUGACACAGUAUGUAAAACUCGCUCUACAUUGCCAUGCAUGAUCUGAUAUUUGUAACAAUACCACUGUGUGUGUCUUACUGUGUUUCCCCUAUCAUGCUCUGCAAAUAUUCUCUCUGAGCCAGAUUUUUACCGAUACACAUAUAUGCACAGCGUAUAUUCACGUAUAUGUACAAGAAGCAGGGACAUAAAAUAUUAAUUGGGUUUGACAUGAACUGCAUAGGUCUGACCUACAUGCUACAAACUAGAGUAUGUAGGAUACAGCUGGAUGUUAUAUCUUCUCUAGAAGAUAUAGUAGGAGCUGUAUGUAGUGUAUGCACAUAUUGUGGCUUCAGUAAUGGUCAUGACCAAAUCAAUACAUUUCAUUAUUGGUAACAGGAGAUCAUACGAUCUUUAACAGGCAAUUUAUACCAUGUAAGAAUGAUCCAGUGUGUAAGUGGCCAUUCUUAGAAAAGAAUCAAACAGUCAUUGAAGCUAUAAACAGUGAUAGAAAACAGGUUAUUGCCUUCACAGUGUGUUUUUUAAGGCUAUUUUUUGAGUCAGUCUUAAUUUCACAUGAUUAUGUGCUUGGUAAACAGUCUGGCAACAAUAUUUGCAGUGCUGUCUCUGUUCCUCUGUGUCUUCCCUCGACAUAGUCUUCUCCUUGUGUGAUUAACACUCAUUCUCCAUCCCAUCCCCAGGCCGCCACUGCAGUGCAAGUGUAACUAAAGUCUGACUCUAGUGUUAAGUUUCUAGCAUUCCCCCUCUCUCUAAGGAAGAGUCCAUAACCGGUAAACACAAAUUUGCGGCGGGAGCCACAUAACGACAGGUGUGACACGGAUGGACAGUUAAAAGGAGAUCUUUGGGGUGACAAGAGAGACCAGAGGUUAAUCAUGAAUUAAAAAAUCAUAUGGUCUGCUCCUCACAUUGUUACCAAAGCAGCCUCUCGGAACUCCGACCACACUUUUGACAGCUGUCUGACUGACCUUUUCUUUUCCUUUCCUUUGGCAAACUGACUGAGCAUUGCACUUACACACUUUGGGAGAAAAAAGGACUCCUUAGUUCACAUUCCAGAUGACAUCUCUCUGACACUAAUACUCGCCAUCUUGUAUGAAGACCAACUCAGUGCUGUCUACAGUACUGAACAACUGAGCAACUUUGAGUUUCUGAAAAAACAAAACAAACAAACAAACAAAAAAAACACGUCUUCAACGGGACUGAAUGAACAAUGUAGCAUCUCUGCUAACAUAUUGUAGCAUUUGUUGGCUGGGAAAUAACUUGACUUAACUCAUCAACCGUUCACAGAGAGAGGAAUUUAUGCAUUCACGGGAUCUUUUAGAUGUCAUUUUCCUCUUGGGUUCCUUUUCCAGUUAAAAAAACAAAAAACGAGUACACGAGAGACAAAGGAUUGGUCUUACUCAUUAAAACACCUGGCAUUCACAUAUAUAUAUUUUAUAUAUAUAUUCAUAAACAUAUAUACAUAUAUAUGGCCCAUUUGGGGGACCCUAUGUGUAUAUAUAUAUAUAUAUAUUGAUAUGUAUAUAUGUAUACAUAUAUAUAUUACACCCAUAUGGUCCCUUGUUCAAGCUUAGCACGUGUAUAGUAUGUUUGCCACUGAAUCUAUGUCUUCCAUUAACUUUUAUCUGACUGAAACACUGCCCUCCUCACAGCACUGAUAUAAAAAAACACUACAAACUAUACCAAGUGUGAAGCACAUGUAAACAAAGCACAUGUAGCAUCUGCUCAAACAUGUCACAUAUGGCAUUUACUGUACAUUUAUACUCACCUGAAGCAGUCACUGCAACAAAAUAGUGAGAAAAGACUUGUCUUUAUCUCUCAUGUACUGACAUGGGCUUGCCCAAAGGUCCUGUAGCAUGCACUUGCUGAAUGACCUUCUUUAAUGUAUUGUAGAUUGAGGAAAUAUUCCAUUAAGGGUGAGUUUUAUACUUGCCCUACAAUUCAUUGCCCUAAUAGAACUUACCUAUUUAACUGCCACUAUCCCUAUCCUGAUUUGCACAUAUAGAAUAUUUUUCCCAUGUCUGACUGACUCAGCAUUCAGCCAUGGGGAGUAAAGAGAGGUGAAGUCCUCAUCGAUCAAGGGAUAGCAGCCUUCCUGAAUGACAAAUAAGACCAUACCACUACAAGAACUGUUUUUAAUUCACUCUCCAGUGGUUGUAAUUUCAAUGUUAUUUUGAAAGGGACCAAUCAGAUAAAUAUUUCCCCUCAACACAAAGGCCGUCACUGCCAGUCAAGGCACAGGACUCCCUGGACUCACACUGCCCCAUCUCUCCCUUGCCCUUGAUGUGAACGACUUCACGGGCAAGUCGGUGUCAAGAUAAAGAUGGCCCAUUUCGGGGACCCUUACGCGAAGAGUUAAACCAGAAGACGUGGACCAAGAGUAGAGCAAAUGCGGAAGUGUACAAAGAGAACAAAUCUAUAUUUUGAUAAACAAAUCCACAGCUCUCCAUUACUUUGGAGGAGAUUUCUGAGCAGAAAAAAAGUCCAGAAUGACAGAAAAAAAAGAGUCAGAUGCAAAUGUGAUUUGAGUAUUUGGCAUCAAGAAAUGGAGUCAAAGUCCUAUAAAAAUACGGAGAGCAAAUAAUCUGUUAUAAGGGGUGUGCAAAGCUGUUUACCCCACAAGCACUGAGAAAAUGUUUUCUGAAAGACAAUGAGCAAUGACAGACUGCACCUACAAAGACAUAGGGAUGAUGGAGGAUGGACGAUGAGAUAAACAAAUGGAGAAAAAAGAUAAUGCAUUUUUGUAACUUUGUUUACCAGCAUGACUACUUUGCAUGACUGUCUUUUCUGCAAGCCCUUAGUUGAAGACAAGGGUGCUAGAGAUACAAAAAAAUAUAUAUAAAAUUAAUUAAAAAAAUGUUAUAUGCAAUUAAUGUUUUAAAAAAGAUUAUAAUGAAAGAGAAGAGCUAUAUUUUGUUUUGAAAAGUUAAAAAAAUGUGAAUAUUGAAACAUGUAUGUUUGCAAAGUACACCCUGAACUAUGUUUUGUUUGAUGAAAUCUCUCUGCUACUACUGCCCUACAUUCGUCAUUCCAGUGUUUUUGACCUUUUCUGUCACUGUUUUAUUUUCUAAUGCACUGAGCAGUAUAUUUUUUAACUCUUCUAAGUCAACAGUGGUCAUUCAAGACUUUGCCUAUAGCACCUGCGCAAAGGCUUUCUUUCCUGGGAUGUUCUUCGUUUUUUUUGUUAGGUCCAUGUUUUCCUCCUUGAUUCAUUUGCACAACUUACGUAGCAGCAGCAGCAAGAGCAGCAGCAGUUCUAAAACAGCAGCACUCCAUACCACAACUUUGACAGCUUGAAUACUACUCAUAGUUUGCUUUUUUCUUUGGCAAUAAUACAGUAGUUGUCACAAGAUUGUAGCAGGUCAAAUGGAGAACCUUGAGUCCUUGGAGUAUCUUUAAAAUCUCAGUGUUAGAGAUUUAUAAAGGCCUUGGAUGUCCCAUGGCAGGAUUUUGCUAGGAUAGGCAAUUCUGUUCCAUUCAUAGAAACAUGGGAGUAGAUGUGUAGGUUAUCCAAUAAAGACCAAUAACAGUACGAAAGAUACUAUAUUGGCAAAUAGUCGGAGAUAUCAGGUUUGCAUGGAACCAACUGCCAUUCCAAAAUUUGUGUGGUUUUAAGGACUCAGGUGUGUCAAUGAUGUGCUUGGAUGUAGGUGUUUUGCUAUUUUCUUUCUAAGAUAAAAAAAAAUCCUAGUAUAUAGACAACGAUAAUGUGAACACCUCACAGUGAUGUGUAAAAACGCAUGCAUUAUGACUUGAUAAUCUCUCAAGGGGGGGAACAGAGUCUUGACAUAUUCCCUUAGCCUCCUAUCAUUGUUUGUCAUGAAUCCAGUCCUGAUAACUAUAAACACUGUGCCGUGUUGUAGAGCAGAAACGUCUUCCUCCAAGAGGCAACUGAAAACUACUCACACUCACAGUGUCAGCAUGAGUGUGUAGAGGUAGCUCGUCUUCGUUUUUUUAGAUGGUCAGGUCUUUGCAUUCGUCACUUACCAUGGUUAUCGUCAUCCAGCUGGCUAGUUGGCAGCUUAUUACAGCAAACAGCACAGUCAUGUGAGUACCAAUCAAAAAGACCCAGAGCUUCCAAAAUGAUGUCAGAAAGUGGGAACGAAAGGGUGAGAAAUACCAGUGUCCACCAAGGGGAGAUUGAUAAUGAUGUAAUAAGUAAAAAAUAAUGUCACUGUUGAGUGCUCUCUAAGCCCCUCAUCCUUGUCUUGGUAUUCCAAGUGAGUUUCAGGCCCUGCUGGUCCAGGGCUUAGCUCAGGCAGCUGCACGGUUCUUUGUCCAUUCCUAGUACAUUGCAGUUGGAGGCUCACCAGAAUAUGAGACUCAGUGGUGUGAUGUAGACUGUAGAAGUCUUUCAAAAAUUCUGUCGAGUCUACACUGGUUUUACAGGGUCUAGAACUUUUGUCUAUUUGCAUUAAAUGGUCCAUGGGAUUUCUUUUUUGGUCCCGUAUCUUUUUAAAACUCACAAUUUCAGUUCCCAUUUUGGAAGGCAUUAAGCUACUAUGGCUUUGAUGGUCACAAAGAUGUUUAUGAAUAUUUCAGAGGUAAACUUCCUCCAAUGGUGCGCACACUUGCAAAAACCUUGUGCUUCACCCAGCUGUUUUUGUUUUUAUGGCCAAGUAGUGUCUUUUCCUCUUUUUCUUUUUCAUGGUUACAGUCUUUAUUUCCUUCAUUCUCUACGUUGUGGCUGCUCUGCCAAUGCCAGGCUGAAAAAGAUGUCUUUCCUUUUCCAAUGCAUAAUACUGCCAUUUGAUUUAGACACGUUUGAAGAGAAUGAGCUACAAUGUUGAGAGUGCUAAGUCUGUUUUAUUUUUACAAUCUGUUAAAAAUGUUAUAAAUUUCAUGUAGAAACACUCACCGUAACCAAAAGAACAAAUUUGCUUUACAUGGUAAGGAGGUGCAACUGUUGUGACAAUGACUAUUAUGUAUGUGGACAUGUCAUCUGCAGGUGUUGGGAAAGUGUCAUGUGGUCCUUGGAUGACACAUACUCAAUGGUAACCAUUUUCUUUAUAUGCUCGUUUAUGUUUAAUAUGUUUUUCUGUUUUUCUUUUUUAAAUUGAGGACACGGUAUGCAAUCUGCACCACGAAUGCCACUGAUAGACACUUACUGUAUGCUCCCUGAGACACAGAUAUUCUGUCAUCAGUUUAGAUGAUUGCAAUGUGUAGUGGCUUUAUGGUUUUCCAUAGAGUGACUUAGCAAUCACACUAAUUGAAAAAUAUUUUAUUUUACAAAUUAAUAAUAACAGAGUUGUUAUCAAUGUUAUCAUACUAACUACAUUUUUCUAACAUAUAUCAUAUAUCUUAUUUUAAUUAGAAAUAUAAUGAUUAAAACAAAGUCAUACCCAAUAUACGUUGAACUAACAGUACAUAGUAUCAUUAUGCAUCCAAAGAUGAAGACAUAUUCAUUUUAGAAGCUAUCAAACUGUCUAAAACAGACUUAAGUACUAGUCCAUUGUACUGCGGUCUAAGUAGGAGAGUGAAUGGGGCGAAGAGGUGGUCACUGGAUUAUCUGGUUGUGACUUAUGCCGGAUUUUAUUUUUGAAAUGUUGUAAAACAAAGAACAACUCAUCAAGAACUGUAUAAAGUAUAUUUCAAUGGAAUGUUCAUGAUCUAUCUUUUUAUAUUUUGAAGAAAAAAUAGAAACAUAUCAAUAAAGUGUCAUAAUUGAACAUA